rnacentral:rRNA from 1 species
AUUGAACGCUGGCGGCAGGCCUAACACAUGCAAGUCGAGCGGAGCGGUGGCCGGGUGAGUAAUGCUUAGGAAUCUGCCAGGUAGUGGGGGAUAACGUCAGGAAAUGGGCGCUAAGACUGCUAACUAUAAGCUGCGCAUAGGUCGGAUUAGCUAGUUGGUGGGGUAAAGGCCCACCAAGGCGACGAUCCGUAACUGGUCUGAGAGGAUGAUCAGUCACACUGGAACUGAGACAGGGUCCAGACUCCUACGGGAGUCCGCAGUGGAGAAUAUUGGACAAUGGGCGAAAGCCUGAUCCAGCCAUGCCGUGUGUGUGAAGAAGGUCGUCGGGUUGUAAAGCGCUUUAAGUUGGGAGGCGUGACCAACAGAAUAAGCACCGGCUAACGUCGUGCCAGCAGCCGCGGUAAUAC